UACGGAGGGUGCAAGCGUUAAUCGGAAUUACUGGGCGUAAAGCGUGCGCAGGCGGUUUGUUAAGUCCGCUGUGAAAUCCCCGAGCUCAACUUGGGAAUUGCAGUGGAUACUGGCAAGCUGGAGUAUGGUAGAGGAAGGUGGAAUUCCCGGUGUAGCAGUGAAAUGCGUAGAGAUCGGGAGGAACACCAGUGGCGAAGGCGGCCUUCUGGGCAGUUGCUGACACUGAGGCGCGACAGCGUGGGGAGCAAACAGG
rnacentral:rRNA from 1 species